rnacentral:rRNA from 1 species
AGAGUUUGAUCAUGGCUCAGGAUGAACGCUAGCGGCAGGCUUAAUACAUGCAAGUCGAGGGGCAGCAUGGUGUAGCAAUACACUGAUGGCGACCGGCAAACGGGUGCGGAACACGUACGCAACUUACCCAAAACUGGGGAAUAGCCCGGGGAAACCCGGAUUAAUACCUCGUAACAUAAUGAAGUGGCAUCACUUUAUUAUUAUAGCUCCGGCGGUUUUGGAUGGGCGUGCGCCUGAUUAGGUAGUUGGCGGGGUAACGGCCCACCAAGCCUACGAUCAGUAACUGGUGUGAGAGCACGACCAGUCACACGGGCACUGAGACACGGGCCCGACUCCUACGGGAGGCAGCAGUAAGGAAUAUUGGUCAAUGGGCGAAAGCCUGAAGCAGCAACGCCGCGUGUGUGAUGAAGGCCUUCGGGUCGUAAAGCACUUUUCUGGGAGAUGAGAAAGGACAGUAUCCCAGGAAUAAGUCUCGGCUAACUACGUGCCAGCAGCCGCGGUAAUAC